GGAGGAGAGAAGACAGUGUCAGAAGAAAAAGAAGACUGUGUAAAAUGAAGAAUAAGAAAAGAAGAUUAGAGCAAGAAGGACAAGUGAAGUGAUCCCCCUACUUUAUUCUGGACACCACAUCAUAAGGCUUUGGAACCUGGGACCUUCUCAUCUCCCCAGGUAAAAAAAAAAAUCUCAGUGUUUAUGUGUCUUUUAUUUACUGAGUGUCAGGAAGUACAGAGUGCCAUUG